UACAGAGGUCUCAAGCGUUGUUCGGAUUCAUUGGGCGUAAAGGGUGCGUAGGCGGCGCGGUAAGUCGGGUGUGAAAUCUCGGAGCUUAACUCCGAAACUGCAUUCGAUACUGCCGUGCUUGAGGACUGGAGAGGAGACUGGAAUUUACGGUGUAGCGGUGAAAUGCGUAGAUAUCAGGAGGAACACCAAUGGCGAAGGCAGCUCGCUGGGACGUGACUGACGCUGAGACGCGAAAGCGUGGGAGCAAACAGG
rnacentral:rRNA from 1 species